GUCAUUUUCGCAGGCUUUCAUCUCCCAGUGAAGACAUGAACGAGACCGGGGUAUGUGGGUGGUCUUUCACAAUCAGGUUCAGUACCUCCGGCCUUGAGUAGUGUCCAACAACAUCAAAAUCGAACUUCGCCUUUACAAUCUCACCGAGAUCUAGGUCAGCUGAGAUAAUGGCCUCUCCUUCGAUGGCAGGCCCUGCUAAGACCACUCCAGAUGGCGAAAUAAUGACGCUUCCACCAGCGCACACAACAGAAUCGGGUGAGGGGUCACCUGCCUCGCCUGCAAAAACAUAUUCCGGUGGAGGGGGAUAGUCUUU
rnacentral:misc_RNA from 1 species